rnacentral:rRNA from 1 species
UACAGAGGGUGCAAGCGUUAAUCGGAAUGACUGGGCGUAAAGGGUGCGUAGGUGGCUGUUUAAGUGAGAUGUGAAAUCCCCGGGCUUAACCUGGGAACUGCAUUUGAUACUGGACAGCUAGAGUAUGGGAGAGGUAAGUGGAAUUUCCGGUGUAGCGGUGAAAUGCGUAGAUAUCGGAAGGAACACCAGUGGCGAAGGCGGCUUACUGGCCUAAUACUGACACUGAGGCACGAAAGCGUGGGGAGCAAACAGG